ensembl:lncRNA
GAUUCUUACUGUGACUCUCAGCAGUUGGAGAUUGAGCUCCCCUGCCCUCUGAAGGCUUCUUAUCUGCCCUAUUGAUAAAAUUAAACUAGGGUGGAGCUGGAUGUGCCCUGAGGCCAAAACCUCGAGAAGGGGUUUGGGGCAAGAUGGAGAGUUUUAGUUGGGACUAGGCUGCCCUCUCCACUUCUGCUUUAGCCACUCUGAGACUGCCACACAUGUGGAAGCAAGGCAGUGCCUCCAGGCUGGAACCCUCUGGAGAUUCCAGCUAUCACCAGAGACUCAGCACAUUACUCCCUGAGGGCAAACAGAGAAACCACCUGAGAGAGAGCCUGUUUUUUAAGACAAUCCAAGCUGAACUUGUAUUUAUCCACCAUUAUUCUUCUUAUCUUCAUGUGCUCCAUCCAGUGGAAGACCAUGCAACAGGAAUAAAAGUCUCCUUUGAAAAGGAUGGGCAGAAGAGACUGUAG